UACGUAGGUGGCGAGCGUUGUCCGGAAUUACUGGGUGUAAAGGGCGUGUAGGCGGGUUAUUAAGUCAGAUGUGAAAUUCCAAGGCUCAACUUUGGCGCUGCAUCUGAAACUGAUAAUCUUGAGUGUUGGAGAGGAAAGCGGAAUUCCUAGUGUAGCGGUGAAAUGCGUAGAUAUUAGGAGGAACACCAGUGGCGAAGGCGGCUUUCUGGACAAUAACUGACGCUGAGGCGCGAAAGCGUGGGGAGCAAACAGG
rnacentral:rRNA from 1 species